AGAGUUUGAUCCUGGCUCAGAACGAACGCUGGCGGCAGGCCUAACACAUGCAAGUCGAACGCCGUAGCAAUACGGAGUGGCAGACGGGUGAGUAACGCGUGGGAACAUACCCCUCGGUUCGGAAUAACUCAGGGAAACUUGAGCUAAUACCGGAUACGUCCGAGGUUUUAAUCGACCUUGGAGAAAGAUUUAUCGCCGGAGGAUUGGCCCGCGUCUGAUUAGCUUGUUGGUGAGGUAAUGACUCACCAAGGCGACGAUCAGUAGCUGGUCUGAGAGGAUGAUCAGCCACAUUGGGACUGAGACACGGCCCAAACUCCUACGGGAGGCAGCAGUGGGGAAUAUUGGACAAUGGGCGAAAGCCUGAUCCAGCCAUGCCGCGUGAGUGAAGAAGGCCUGCGGGUUGUAAAGCACUUUCAGUAGGGAAGAAAAGCCGAGUGCUAAUAUCACUCGGUCUUGACGUUACUUACAGAAGAAGCACCGGCUAACUCCGUGCCAGCAGCCGCGGUAAUACGGAGGGUGCGAGCGUUAAUCGGAAUUACUGGGCGUAAAGGGCGCGUAGGCGGUUCGGUAAGUCGGGUGUGAAAGCCCCGGGCUCAACCUGGGAAUUGCAUUCGAUACUGCCUGGCUAGAGUAUGGUAGAGGGAAGCGGAAUUCCGGGUGUAGCGGUGAAAUGCGUAGAUAUCCGGAGGAACACCAGUGGCGAAGGCGGCUUCCUGGACCAAUACUGACGCUGAGGCGCGAAAGCGUGGGGAUCAAACAGGAUUAGAUACCCUGGUAGUCCACGCCCUAAACGAUGAGAACUAGCCGUUGGAGGAGCUUUGUCCUUUAGUGGCGCAGCUAACGCGAUAAGUUCUCCGCCUGGGGAGUACGGCCGCAAGGUUAAAACUCNAAAGGAAUUGACGGGGGCCCGCACAAGCGGUGGAGCAUGUGGUUUAAUUCGAUGCAACGCGAAGAACCUUACCUGGCCUUGACAUGUCUGGAAUCCUUGAGAGAUCGAGGAGUGCCUUCGGGAACCAGAACACAGGUGCUGCAUGGCUGUCGUCAGCUCGUGUCGUGAGAUGUUGGGUUAAGUCCCGCAACGAGCGCAACCCUUGUCCUUAGUUGCCAGCACGUAAUGGUGGGAACUCUAAGGAGACCGCCGGUGACAAACCGGAGGAAGGUGGGGAUGACGUCAAGUCAUCAUGGCCCUUACGGCCAGGGCUACACACGUGCUACAAUGGCCGGCACAGAGGGCUGCAAACCCGCGAGGGGGAGCUAAUCCCACAAAGCCGGUCUAAGUUCGGAUUGCAGGCUGCAACUCGCCUGCAUGAAGUCGGAAUCGCUAGUAAUCGUGGAUCAGCAACGCCGCGGUGAAUACGUUCCCGGGCCUUGUACACACCGCCCGUCACACCACGAAAGUUGGCAACACCCAAAGCCGGUGGGCUAACCCGCAAGGGAGGCAGCCGUCUAAGGUGGGGUCGAUGAUUGGGGUGAAGUCGUAACAAGGUAACCGUA
rnacentral:rRNA from 1 species